rnacentral:rRNA from 1 species
CGUGUGCGAAGGAGGGGUGACACGGUAAGGGGAAAGGGGAGCGGAGGAGGAGAGGGCUCAGGGACGCGGUGGCCGAGGAGGGGAAGAGAAUGCGGAAGAGGAGGGGUAAGGAGAGUAGAGGGACGGACCCAAUGGCGGCGGCAGCAGCGGGGUCCACUCAACAACGACCCCCACCCCGUCCCGCCCGACCACGGGAGCUCAAACGGUAACUGUUCCUUCAGCACCCACCUCCACUCUGCGACGACCUCAAGUUCCACCGACCUGCGGUGCUGCCCCGUUAUCUAGCCGUCGGACGCCGGGCGACUGGGGUUGGGGACGCCGGGCCUGGAAUCCAGGUCAAGUACAAUUGAUGGGCUUCGAACCGCUCAACACCACCAAUUAUUAAGGUAAACGAAACUGCUGUGAUCUAGUAAUCAGUGGCCUACAAUUCUGAAACUUCCUACUUCUUAUUUCUUGUUAGAUACUAAUCCGUCGGGUUGCAGUUUGUACUAACACGACUACCUACCCAAAACCGCACCACCACUCCACGAACUCCAGCGCUGAGACGCAGUCCUUGGAGGAGAACUCGCCCGAACAUGAAGUACCACCACUCCAGAUAGAACUACCAUCUGGUCAACCAACUAAUUUACGGUUAUCCUCGUCGAAUCACUUGGUAGCUACAUCAGAGUGACACGUAGUCAUAAAAACUGGAGUCGAGCAGAUAUGUAUACUAGGUACAUAGCAUAAAUCAAAGAGAGAUUCUGAACCAUACGGACACAAGACUACUAGGUUCCUUGAGACGGAGAGAAAACCUCUAGAAGGUGCAAAACCUCUGACAAUUUGGAACUAAACUUUUAGACCUACACAGAUACUGCUCAGUAGGUGGAACAUUCUAACAGUAAAUAGACAAUGGAUAAUCGUAGCUAGUUU